UCCACGCUCGCGUGAAUGAUGAUUUAAGUGUGUUGCUAGGCUAACAAGUCGUAUGACUUGCGCUUUCUCUGCGAGCAGUUAUCGCAGUGGGUGAGCCGCAGCGGUUAUUGAAAAGAGAGCCCGGAGCCCCAAUACGGUCACUAGACUCUAGAAACGACCUAGUUAGAGGACUAUCGUGGAGAGUUUAUAGAGAUAAGUUGCCCUUUGUAGAUGUGCAUACUAGUGUUUUGCCAUCUCGCUGAAGGAAUUACGUUCUAUGUUAUAUACUUAGGUGUCUGUUUGUUUUUGAAGUGUCUAUGUGUAUGUGUGUGCUUGUAUGUAUAUUUCUCUCAUUCGUGAGAGGCUGUACCUGUUGGUACGAAGCGAAAUAUAUUAUUAUUAUUAAUACGGGGAAUGGUGGUUGCUACACGCCGUGUUCUUUGCAGAAAUCGACUUUCUCGAGAAACUGUUUGCUCCAGAAAAGAUUUUUACGUGAUGCAGUGAUCAUCAUACAAAACGGCAAAGUUCUAGCCCAAAUGGUGUAAGAAUAACAAAUUGCUGAUCUACAAGCAGUUUGUAAAAGAUUGGUCAGAUUCUUCUUAUUGGAUGGUGAAACAUUAGACGAUGAAACGAGCUCCAGAGACGGAAAGGAGUCUCAUGACGUACCUCCUCUUGAUGCAAUUUCAAGUGUGUUAAUUAAAGCCUACAUCGUAUGAUUCGUUCUGCAAAAGGGAGGUAGGCAUCAAUAGAGAACCAUUAAUCUUCUGAACAGACGAGACUGUGCUGCAUUUGACUUCCCAAAUGUCAAUACAGAAGAGGAAUGAUCGUCAACGUUCCUGUAACGACCCAGUUCAGUUUUCCACACACAAGCAUGAUGAUGCCUAGCGAGUCAGCUUGUAGAAACCUAUCUAGCCAACUUCGAGAACUACUGAGUCGUCACCAGACAAAUCAAGACGACACCUACGCUGCAGGCUUCCUUUCUGGAAUUUACGACAAUCACGGGAUUCAUGAGUUUGCAGCAAAGCGUGAAGCCAAAGAAAUUGCAUUUCAGGUACUGACUAUUAGUCAUAGAAACUGGGAUAGUGUUAUACCUGUUUAAUUUAUUGUUUACCAAGUUUUAAAAGUACAUAUAGUCUGCUACUCUUAGAACAUUGCAUCCGUUUCUGUAUGGUUGAGGAAAUGAUUGGU